rnacentral:rRNA from 1 species
AUUGAACGCUGGCGGCAGGCUUAACACAUGCAAGUCGAACGAGUGGCGGACGGGUGAGUAAUGCAUGGGAAACUAGCCUAUGGAGGGGGAUAACUACGGGAAACGGUAGCUUAUACCGCAUACCAUAGGAUGAGACCAAGUGGGGUUAGGUAGUUGGUGAGGUAAAGGCUCACCAAGCCGACGAUCUCCCGCUGGUCUGAGAGGAUGACCAGAAACACUGGGACUGGCAAACGGGCUAGACUCCAAAGGGAGGCAGCCGUGGGGAAACUUGCGCUCUUGGGGCACACGGACACAGCAAGGCCGCGUGAAUGAAUAAGGCCUUUGGGUUGUAAAGUUCUUUCGGUACGGAGGCGUUAACUACAGAAGAAGCACCGGCUCACUCCGUGCCAGCAGCCGCGGUAAUUC